rnacentral:rRNA from 1 species
AGUGAACGCUGGCGGCAGGCCUAACACAUGCAAGUCGAACGGCAGCACAAGAGAGCUUGCUCUCUGGGUGGCGAGUGGCGGACGGGUGAGGAAUGCAUCGGAAUCUGCCCAUUUGUGGGGGAUAACCUCGGGAAACCGGGACUAAUACCGCAUACGACCUACGGGUGAAAGCAGGGGAUCUUCGGACCUUGCGCAGAUGGAUGAGCCGAUGCCGUAUUAGCUAGUUGGAGGGGUAAAGGCCCACCAAGGCGACGAUCCGUAGCUGGUCUGAGAGGAUGAUCGGCCACACUGGGACUGAGACACGGCCCAGACUCCUACGGGAGGCAGCAGUGGGGAAUAUUGGACAAUGGGCGCAAGCCUGAUCCAGCCAUGCCGCGUGUGUGAAGAAGGCCUUCGGGUUGUAAAGCACUUUUGUUGGGAAAGAAAAGCAGCCGGUUAAUACCCGGUUGUCAUGACGGUACCCAAAGAAUAAGCACCGGCUAACUUCGUG